rnacentral:lncRNA from 8 species
UGAUAAUGAGGAACUUAAACCCAUCCAAACGUCUUGGCCUAACAUCAUGUUAUUGUUUUUGAUGGUCUCUCAGGUUUCCAUGGAGAUGAGUACUCUCAGAAGGAAGCGUAUUGAGUUGCUCCAAGGGAUACAAGGUAAGAUGAUGAUUUUGUGUCAACUAAAUGACUGCUCUUUUUAUUUUAAUAAGUAGGUGUGGAUCUGGGGUUUUGGGUAACUUGUUAUAUGCAUGUAUGAACCUUUUUGUAAUGUCUUAUAAUACGGUUUUUAAUAUGUUCUGUUUUGGCUCUUGGUCUGUAUCUCAGGUGGUGACAACCUUUCCCUGCCCAGAGUGAAGAGCUGUGAAGAGGAGAUGCCUUUAGAGAUGCCCCCCUCCCUGCUGUCGCCUCUAACAGAAGCCCCUGUCACCAAUCCUAACCAGGUUCCCCUCUACCUCCCCCUCUGCUCCACGCCCCCCUCCCUGUCCCCUAGCCACCAGACCAAGCCCCAGACCCAGCCUGUCACACAGUCAGUAGUUAUCAAGCAGGAGCCCCUGUCCCCUGGUAGGGUGACCACUGAGACAGAGGUUGCGGAGAGCACAGUUACAAUCCACCAGCGACUUCACUACGGCCCUCACAGCACCACGCCAGAGCCCACGCCUAUCCCUACAGCCCCUCGCACAGAUUGUGCCCUCAGCUGCCAACCGGUAAGAGGGAGGAAGUCUGAGCAUCACAGAGCCAGCAGAGAGCUCUCUCAAGAGGACAGCAGCCUACCCGUAGGAGCAUGUGUAGAAUGGAAGGACCCCUCAGCAGGUUCACCAGGCCUGGUCCAUUCGGGAGAGAGGGGUGUCCAGGUUACCACAGAAGACAGGGGUAACUUCAAGCCCCACCCAGCCUCCCUGUCAGGCCCAUCCAGCCGCAAGAGCUCCAGAGCCGGGGUCCAGGACCUAGACACCUCCCCCGUCCUUCCUCCGUCCCUCGCUCCGUCCAUCGCUCCGCCUCAGGCGGAAGUGAAGACCGUAAAGCGCGUGAGGAAGUUGAAGAAGAAGAGGGUGCUGAGGAAGGCCAAGGGGGAGGAGCAACAGCUUGACAACAGCGACACAGAACUGGAGACGGAGACGACCUUCACCCGACCCGUCAGACUCCUCGGCACCCGCAGGAAAGCCAGUGGCGGAUGCCGACCCCAGGUCACCACAUCCUCCUCCACAUCCACCUCCAGCCCGCCCGGAGCAUCAGAGGACAAGAGAGAGCUUCCAAGGCCACCAAGGUCUCCAGCCACUAGACCCGAGGAGAAGCAGGAGGACUCUGACUCCUCUCUGGAGAUGGUCGUACUCCCCCAGGCAGCUCCAGUGGAGGUGGUCACCAUUGACACCUCAGGUCCAGAGGAUGGAGACAUGGACAUCUGCGGUGUUGCCUGUCCACAGCCACAGCCCACUGUCUCACCCCCAGCCCCAGACACACUGAAGACAGAGCCCCAGAAGCUGGCUUGCAAUGAGGUGACCUCCACCAGCGAGAUGGAUGGUAGCUCUGUAGUCAAGAGUGAAGUCCAGCUUCCCCUGACAUCUGUCAAGCUGUCCAAAACUUCCUCAGGUAGGUCACAGUUCCAAGACUUCCUCAGGUAGGUCACAGUUGCAAGACUUCCUCAGGUAGGUCACAGUUGCAAGACUUCCUCAGGUAGGUCACAGUUGCAAGACUUCCUCAGGGAGGUCACAGUUGCAAGACUUCCUCAGGGAGGUCACAGUUGCAAGACUUCCUCAGCGAGGUCACAGUUCCCCACACUAGUCCCAAGACUUCCUCAGCGAGGUCACAGUUCCCCACACUAGUCCCAAGACUUCCUCAGCGAGGUCACAGUUCCCCACACUAGUCCCAAGACUUCCUCAGGGAGGUCACAGUUCCCCACACUAGUCCAAGACUUCCUCAGGGAGGUCACAAUUCCCCACACUAGUCCAAGACUUCCUCAGGGAGGUCACAGUUCCCCACACUUAGUCCAAGACUUCCUCAGGGAGGUCACAGUUCCCCACACUUAGUCCAAGACUUCCUCGGAGGUCACAGUUCCCCACACUAGUCCCAAGACUUCCUCAGCGAGGUCACAGUUCCCCACACUAGUCCCAAGACUUCCUCAGCGAGGUCACAGUUCCCCACACUAGUCCCAAGACUUCCUCAGCGAGGUCACAGUUCCCCACACUAGUCCCAAGACUUCCUCAGGGAGGUCACAGUUCCCUACACUAGUCCAAGACUUCCUCAGCGAGGUCACAGUUCCCCACACUAUUCCAAGACUUCCUCAGCGAGGUCACAUGAUCUCACAUUCUCAGGUGGGAUAGGCUAGAUACAGACACUUUCACCAGACCAGCAUAGUCUAUUGGACCUGAUUUAGUUCCAAUACCCAGACCCUCUUGCUGGUUGGUCU